UACAGGGGGGGCAAGCGUUGUUCGGAAUUACUGGGCGUAAAGGGUUCGUAGGUGGCCACCUAAGUCAGACGUGAAAUCCCUCAGCUUAACUGGGGAACUGCGUCUGAUACUGGGUGGCUUGAGUGCAGGAGAGGAAUGCGGAAUUCCCGGUGUAGUGGUGAAAUGCGUAGAUAUCGGGAGGAACACCAGUGGCGAAGGCGACUACCUGGCCUGUUCUUGACGCUGAGGCGCGAAAGCUAGGGGAGCAAACGGG
rnacentral:rRNA from 1 species